GGAGAGAUGGCCGAGUGGUUGAAGGCGCACGCUUGGAAAGCGUGUGUACUCUUAACGGGGUACCGCGGGUUCGAAUCCCGCUCUCUCCGCCA
rnacentral:tRNA from 1 species